rnacentral:rRNA from 1 species
GCUGGCGGCGUGCUUAACACAUGCAAGUCGAACGGAGUUAACGAGGAGCUUGCUCCUUUUAACUUAGUGGCGGACGGGUGAGUAACGCGUGGGUAAUCUGCCUCAUACAGGGGGAUAACAGUUAGAAAUGACUGCUAACACCGCAUAACAUAGCGGAACCGCAUGAUUCUGCUAUCAAAUAUUUAUAGGUAUGAGAUGAGCCCGCGUCUGAUUAGCUAGUUGGUGAGAUAACAGCCCACCAAGGCGACGAUCAGUAGCCGUACUGAGAGGUAAAUCGGCCACAUUGGGACUGAGACACGGCCCAAACUCCUACGGGAGGCAGCAGUGGGGAAUAUUGGACAAUGGGGGCAACCCUGAUCCCAGCGACGCCGCGUGAGUGAAGAAGUAUUUCGGUAUGUAAAGCUCUAUCAGCAGGGACGAUAAUGACGGUACCUGACUAAGAAGCCCCGGCUAACUACGUGCCAGCCGCCGC